GGAAGCCUUCUCCGGGAUGACCAGCGACUUCUGGCUCACCUCUUUGGAGGAAACACUUUCGCCGACCGCUUCUGUGAGGUUUACGCCGUCUGUGGGGAGAGAGAGAAAGCCACCGUCCACCCUUCCCUCAUCCGUUUUACUUCUGUCAACAUUUACUUUCGAGCACCGGGAAGGAAUCUGCGAUGAGCGAAAUGAGCACAGCGAAAUGGCAAACCGUUAUCCUCAUUAGAAUUCACCGUCUCCCUUUUUUUGGGGGUAGACAUUAACGUUGUCCCUUGCUUCGACCGACGCUCCGUGGACAGAAAUGUUUAAAUACUCGUCCACCACCACCAUCGCUCUUCUAUAUACAAAUUCCUCCACCCCUUGACAUAGUGCUCCGUGCUGUCAUCAGAAAUCGAUCAGAAGCGAAAUAAGAAGGUCAGCGCGUUUUAAUAUCCUACAAAAUUCAAUAUUUUGAUAGGAAACAAAGCGCUUCCGAUGGCAAAAAAGGCCCUUCACCCAUUCCCUGUGCCGUCCAAAUCGGCUGCACAAACGGCAAAGGAUAGAGAUGAUUUACAAAUCCGAUCAACAGUGUCGACAUUUGGCGCUCCAGCUCCAGUGUCCUCCUCCAUAAACCAAAACUUGCCUUUACCGUACUGUCGCAAGUGGAAAGAGGGGGAAAAGGUUUCGAUUUGCUUCUCUUCCACUAAAACAAACGGCACUUGAAUUCGCCACAAGAAAGGAUGGGGGGGGGGAGCUUUUGCGUGGAGGGUGGUCGAGAGUCGACGACAAAUUUCCCAUUGUGUCCGCUUCACAGACGGAAAAUAUUAAAGAGCCACGACGACACGAAGCAGGGAAGGAACGACGAUUGUUGUUGUCUCAAGACGAUCCCUUUGCUUCACGCCGACCUUCUCUAUUUGCCCGUCAAUGUUCAUCAUAUUACAAAACCAACCGAAGCGCUGCUGCCACCACUGCCGGAUGAUAUCGAGCCGGCAUUGUCUUCUGUAUCCUCCCACCCAUCAAAAAACCGUCUGGUUUGUCGCUUUGAAAAUAAAAAGCAAUAUCUUUCUCUUCAA